GACGAACGCUGGCGGCGUGCUUAACACAUGCAAGUCGAACGGAAAGGCCCUGCUUUUGUGGGGUGCUCGAGUGGCGAACGGGUGAGUAACACGUGAGUAACCUGCCCUUGACUUUGGGAUAACUUCAGGAAACUGGGGCUAAUACCGGAUAGGAGCUCCUGCUGCAUGGUGGGGGUUGGAAAGUUUCGGCGGUUGGGGAUGGACUCGCGGCUUAUCAGCUUGUUGGUGGGGUAGUGGCUUACCAAGGCUUUGACGGGUAGCCGGCCUGAGAGGGUGACCGGCAAAAUGGGGACUGGGAUACGGCCAAGACUCUAACGGGAGGAAGAAGGGGGGAAUAUGGAACAAGGGGCGGAAGCCGGAGGCAGCAACGCCGGGUGCGGGAUGACGGCCUUCGGGUGGUAAACCGCUUUCGCCGGUGACGAAGCGUGAGUGACGGUAAUGGGUAAAGAAGCACCGGCUAACUACGUG
rnacentral:rRNA from 1 species